rnacentral:rRNA from 1 species
UACAGGGGGUGCAAACGUUGCUCGGAAUCAUUGGGCGUAAAGCGCACGUAGGCGGUCUGUUAUGUCGGAUGUGAAAGCCCUUGGCUUAACUGAGGAAGUGCAUCCGAAACUGGCAGGCUAGAGUACUAAAGAGGGUCGCGGAAUUCCCGGUGUAGAGGUGAAAUUCGUAGAUAUUCGGAGGAACACCAGUGGCGAAGGCGGCUCACUGGCUCGGUACUGACGCUGAGGUGCGAAAGCGUGGGGAGCAAACAGG